UUGGAGGGCAAGUCUGGUGCCAGCAGCCGCGGUAAUUCCAGCUCCAAUAGCGUAUAUUAAAGUUGUUGCAGUUAAAAAGCUCGUAGUUGAAUUUCGGGGUCAGUAGGUCGGUCGUGCCACUGGUAUGAACUGGUUUUACUGAUUCCUCCCUCUUGAAGAACUGUAAUGCCAUUAAUUUGGUGUUGCAGGGAAUCAGGACUGUUACUUUGAAAAAAUUAGAGUGUUUAAAGCAGGCUUUAGCUUGAAUACAUUAGCAUGGAAUAAUGAAACAGGACGUUUGAUCCUAUUUUGUUGGUUUCUAGGAUUGACGUAAUGAUUAAUAGGGAUAGUUGGGGGCAUUAGUAUUCAAUUGUCAGAGGUGAAAUUCUUGGAUUUAUUGAAGACUAACUACUGCGAAAGCAUUUGCCAAGGAUGUUUUCAUUAAUCAAGAACGAAAGUUAGGGGAUCGAAGACGAUCAGAUACCGUCGUAGUCUUAACCAUAAACUAUGCCGACUAGGGAUCGGAUGAUGUUAAUUUUUUAAUGACUCAUUCGGCGCCUUACGGGAAAC
rnacentral:rRNA from 1 species